rfam:Oryza rufipogon genomic scaffold, chr08
AAUAACCGUAGUUUUGCACUAUUCACGUUCAACAUUUGAUAUUUUACCGUUCGUCUUAUUUGAAAAUUUUUUAUGAUUAGUAUUUUUAUUGCUAUUAGAUAAUAAAACAUGAAUAGUACUUUAUGUGUGACUAAAUAUUUUCAAAUUUUUCACAAUUUUUUUAAAUAAGACGGACGGUCAAACGUUGGGCACGGAUGUCCACGACUGCACUUAUU